rnacentral:ncRNA from 1 species
GAGUAUUUCAGUUCUGAAUUUUUAUGUAUUUUUAAAUUUAAUGUAAAUUUUAGUGUUAUUUUUAUUUUUUAUAAAUAAGGGAGUAAAAUUUUUUUAAGAGAGUGCAGUAAUUAAUUUUUUAAAUUUAAAAAUUUAAGAUAAAGAUAAUAAUAUUUAGUAUAAACUAAAUUUGUGCCAGCAGUUGCGGUUAUACGGGUUAUGCAAUAAAAAUAGUUUAGAUAGAGUUAAAAUUGAUUAGAUAAAUUAAAAAUUUAAAAUAACUUUAUUAGGUGAAAUUUUAUAUUUAUUAAAUUUUUAAAUAUUUAAGAUUUUGAGGCUUAGAAAUUUUGUCUUUAAACUAGGAUUAGAUACCCUAUUAUUAAAAUGUAAAUAUUUUGUCUAAAUAAGUGCUAGAAUUAAUUAAAAUAAUAAAAUAAGAAAAAUGUUCUUGAAAAUUAAGAAGAAUGGCGGUAUUUUAGUCUUUUCAGAGGAACCUGUCCUGUAAUUGAUAAUCCACGAUUUUUAUUACUUUUUUUUUUAGUUUAUAUAUCGCUGUGGUGGAAUAUUUUCUUAAAAGUAUUAAAUAUUCAUAGUUUUUAGAAAGAAAAAUUCAGGUCAAGAUGUAGUUUAUAAAAAAGGAGAGAUGGGUUACAAUAAUUUAAAUUUUGGAAAAAUAUUUUAAAAUUGUUUAAAAAUUGGAUUUGAGAGUAAUUUUAUAAAAUUAAUAUAAAAUGAUUUUAGCUCUAAAAUGUGUACAUAUCGCCCGUCGCUUUCAUUUUAAAGUGAAAUAAGUCGUAACAUAGUAGAUGUACUGGAAGGUGCCUCUAGAAGACA